rnacentral:rRNA from 1 species
GACGGAGGGGGCAAGCGUUGUUCGGAAUCACUGGGCGUAAAGGGCGCGUAGGCGGCCAUGCAAGUCAGAUGUGAAAUCCCGGGGCUCAACCUCGGAACUGCAUUUGAAACUGCACGGCUUGAGUAUCGGAGAGGAUGGUGGAAUUCCUAGUGUAGCGGUGAAAUGCGUAGAUAUUAGGAGGAACACCGAUGGCGAAGGCAGCCAUCUGGACGAUUACUGACGCUAAGGCGCGAAAGCGUGGGGAGCAAACAGG